CCUACGGGUGGCUGCAGUGGGGAAUAUUGCACAAUGGGGGAAACCCUGAUGCAGCGACGCCGCGUGAGUGAAGAAGUCUUUCUGUAUGUAAAGCCCUAUCAGCAGGGAAGAAGAACGACGUUACCUGACUCAGACGCCCCGGCUAAAUACGUGCCAGCAGCCGCGGUAAUACGUCGGGGGCAAGCGUUAUCCGGAUUUACUGGGUGUAAAGGGAGCGUAGGCGGAGAAGCGAGUCUGGAGUGAAAGCCCGUGGCUUAACCCCGGGACUGCUUUGGAAACUGGUGGACUAGAGUGCGGGAGAGGUAAGUGGAAUUCCUAGUGUAGCGGUGAAAUGCGUAGAUAUUAGGAGGAACACCAGUGGCGAAGGCGGCUUACUGGACAGUAACUGACGUUGAGGCUCGAAAGCGUGGGGAGCAAACAGGAUUAGAUACCCGUGUAGUC
rnacentral:rRNA from 1 species